UUCGAUGAUGCUACUGUUCCCGUUGAGAAUGAAACGUCCGCGUUUGAAGGAGCUGGUGAUACUGUUCUUGUUCCGUUGAAUUCUCCCACGCGUAAUAAUCCAGUGCAAUCUGGAGUUGAGAAAGUGAAGAUAUUUGGGGGCAUCAGUGAACCAGAGACAAAAGUUUGUGAUGAGGAUGAAGAAGCACCAAAUAGUUACUCCUUUACUACAUACUGCGGCAUUGGCGUAAUUUUGGACGAUGUUCUUGCUACGGAGGCACCUCAUGAUCAUCAGGAUACUAUACGAACCGGUAAGGACGGAGUGAUACCGAGAG
rnacentral:lncRNA from 1 species